ACACACAUCACAACCUGUCGGUGAUGUGUGUGGUGCCAUCACCACAUACAGUUCAAUUGUUGGCUACCCUCACCACAUGCGGGGGUUUCCAGCGACCCCUUAGCAGCAUCCGGGCCCAUCGUGGAUGCCAUCCAUGUGUUUUGGACCAUCACAGAUGUAUUGGUUAUGCAAUUUUGAUGCAAAAUUGAACCUGAAAACCUGAUAAAAUGUGGAUUCCAGUGGAUAAAGCUCAAUGUGUGUGGCCUGGUAGAUACAGACGAUAUCACAUACCCAAGUGCAAUGAACCUUUUGGACUUGGAAUACAUCAUUUAUGGAAACAGAUGGAACCAAGGGUAGACAGUGGCCUCUGAGCUGUUUCUUUACUUAUUUCUGUACCUUAGUUGAAUUACAUUAUCAUAGUGAAAGUUGGUCAUGCAAUUUUGACGCGAAAUGGAACCUGAAAACCUGCUAAAAUGUGGAUACCAGUGGAUAAAGCUCAAUGUGUGUGGCUUGUACUCACAAGACAUUUACAGUGGGGUGUGCAGUUGAGAACAGUUCGCCAUCUACCCCUCAGUGCUCACCAGAAUUAUUCAAAGUGGAGCACUAUGCCAAUUUUAAGAAGCUGGCCAAAGAUGUCCUGGUAAGCAGCACAUUGUCAGUGCUGCGAGACAUACAAACAGCAAUGAAUGGGAGCAAUGAGGAUGAGGAGUUGGGCCAAUAUGUUGCAGCUGAGGUGAUUACAACUAAAAAUAGAAAAUUGAAGGCAGAGACAAAGUGCCUUAUCAUGGGUGCAAUUCAGAAAGUUACUGAUUGUUAAUUUUUAAAUAAAAGAUUGAAAAUUAAAAA